AGAGUUUGAUCCUGGCUCAGAACGAACGCUGGCGGCGUGGCUAAGACAUGCAAGUCGAACGAAUGACGGGAGCUUCGGUUCCCUGAUUUAGUGGCGGAUGGAUGAGUAAUGCAUAAAUAACAUACCCUUGACUCUGGGAUAACUGCGGGUUUUACCCUUUAGCGAAAGUGCAGGUAAUACCGGAUAAUAUUCCGAUAUCGCAUGGUAAUGGAAUCAAAGAAUUUUGGUCAGGGAGUGGUUUAUGUCGUAUCAGUUAGUUGGUGGGGUAAUGGCCUACCAAGACAUCGACGCGUAGCGGGACUGAGAGGUUGGCCCGCCAUAUCGGGACUGAGACACUGCCCGGACCUCCACGGAGGGCUGCAGUAACGAAUAUUGCGCAAUGGCCGAAAGGCUGACGCAGCGACGCCGCGUGCAGGACGAAGCCCCUCGGGGUGUAAACUGCUGUCAAGGUGAAGAAAGAUCUGAUCGAUCCUGAAGGAAGGACCGGCUAAAUUCGUGCCAGCAGCCGCGGUAAUACGAAUGGUCCAAGCGUUGUUCGGAAUCACUGGGCUUAAAGCGCACGUAGGUGGAUAAUUAAGUGUCUUGUGAAAUCCCACGGCUCAACCGUGGAACUGCAGGGCAUACUGGUUAUCUUGAGGCAAGUAGGGGUACAUGGAACUCUGGGUGGAGCGGUGAAAUGCGUAGAUAUCCAGAGGAACGCCAGCGGUGAAAACGGUGUACUGGGCUUGUUCUGACACUGAGGUGCGAAAGCGUGGGUAGCGAACGGGAUUAGAUACCCCGGUAGUCCACGCCGUAAACGAUGCAUACUAGACUGUGGGAAUUCUGACAUUUUCGCAGUCGUAGCAAAAGUAUUAAGUAUGCCGCCUGGGGAGUACGGUCGCAAGGCUAAAACUCAAAGGAAUUGACCGGGGCUCACACAAGCAGUGGAGCAUGUGGCUUAAUUCGAAUCAACGCGAAGAACCUUAUCCUGGGUUUGACUAUUGCGGAUACCCUAUGUGAAAGCAUAGUAAGUUGCCCUUGUGGUGAAACGCAACCAGGUGCUGCAUGGCUGUCGUCAGCUCGUGUCGUGAGAUGUCGGGUUAAGUCCUUUAACGAGCGAAACCCUUAUCGUUAGUUGCCAGCACGUUAUGGUGGGAACUCUAGCGAGACUGCCGGUGUUAAACCGGAGGAAGGUGGGGAUGACGUCAAGUCCUCAUGGCCUUUAUGCCCAGGGCUGCACACGUGCUACAAUGCGACGUACAAACCGACGCGAUACCGCGAGGUGGAGCAAAUCGGAAAAAGCGUCGCCCAGUUCGGAUCGGAGUCUGCAACUCGACUCCGUGAAGUUGGAAUUGCUAGUAAUCGCAGAUCAGCAUGCUGCGGUGAAUAAGUUCCUGAGCCUUGUACACACCGCCCGUCAAGUCAUGGAAGCCGGGAGUACCUGAAGUCGGGUAGCUAACUCUUCGGAGAGGCGCCUGUCGAUGGUAAGUUCGGUAACUGGGGCUAAGUCGGAACAAGGUA
rnacentral:rRNA from 1 species